GAUGAACGCUGGCGGCGUGCCUAAUACAUGCAAGUCGAGCGAACAGACGAGGAGCUUGCUCCUCUGACGUUAGCGGCGGACGGGUGAGUAACACGUGGAUAACCUACCUAUAAGACUGGGAUAACUUCGGGAAACCGGAGCUAAUACCGGAUAAUAUAUUGAACCGCAUGGUUCAAUAGUGAACGACGGUUUUGCUGUCACUUAUAGAUGGAUCCGCGCCGCAUUAGCUAGUUGGUAAGGUAACGGCUUACCAAGGCGACGAUGCGUAGCCGACCUGAGAGGGUGAUCGGCCACACUGGAACUGAGACACGGUCCAGACUCCUACGGGAGGCAGCAGUAGGGAAUCUUGCGCAAUGGGCGAAAGCCUGACGGAGCAACGCCGCGUGAGUGAUGAAGGUCUUCGGAUCGUAAAACUCUGUUAUUAGGGAAGAACAAAUGUGUAAGUAACUAUGCACGUCUUGACGGUACCUAAUCAGAAAGCCACGGCUAACUACGUG
rnacentral:rRNA from 1 species